GCACUGGUGGUUCAGUGGUAGAAUUCUUACCUUCCACGUGGGAAAGCCAGGUUUGAAUCCCAGCCAGUGCA
rfam:Loxodonta africana unplaced genomic scaffold scaffold_21, whole genome shotgun sequence.